rnacentral:rRNA from 1 species
CAGCAGCCGCGGUAACACGAAGGGGGCUAGCGUUGCUCGGAAUUACUGGGCGUAAAGGGCGCGUAGGCGGACAGUUAAGUCUGAUGUGAAAGCCCCCGGCUCAACCGGGGAGGGUCAUUGGAAACUGAGAAACUUGAGUGCAGAAGAGGAGAGUGGAAUUCCACGUGUAGCGGUGAAAUGCGUAGAGAUGUGGAGGAACACCAGUGGCGAAGGCGACUCUCUGGUCUGUAACUGACGCUGAGGAGCGAAAGCGUGGGGAGCGAACAGGAUUAGAUACCCGCGUAGUCCCUGUCUCUUAUAC